rnacentral:rRNA from 1 species
GACAUAGGUGGCGAACGUUAUCCGGAAUUAUUGGGCGUAAAGGGUGCGUAGAUGGUAUGAUGAGUUAUCAGUGGUAAAUCGGGGCUCAACCUCGCGGAAGCUGGUAAUACUGUUAUACUUGAGUGCAGGAGAGGUUAAUGGAAUUCCCUGUGGAGCGGUAAAAUGCGUUAGAUAUAGGGAAGAACACCAAUAACGGCGAAGGCAAUUAACUAUUCUGUUACUGACGUUGAGGCACGAAAGCGUGGGGAGCAAAAAGG